AUCUUGCUGAUGAGUGUCAAAUAGCACGAAACCUGGGUCCAGGGU
rfam:Schistosoma haematobium scaffold1327_6, whole genome shotgun sequence.